UAGUGGCGGACGGGUGAGUAACGCGUGGGAAUCUGCCCUCAGGAUGGGGAUAACGGUUGGAAACGACCGCUAAUACCCCAUAUGCCGAGAGGUGAAACGAAAUUCGCCUGAGGAUGAGCCCGCGUCUGAUUAGCUAGUUGGUGGGGUAAAGGCCUACCAAGGCAUCGAUCAGUAGCUGGUCUGAGAGGAUGAUCAGCCACACUGGGACUGAGACACGGCCCAGACUCCUACGGGAGGCAGCAGUGGGGAAUUUUCCGCAAUGGGCGCAAGCCUGACGGAGCAACGCCGCGUGAGGGAUGAAGGCCUCUGGGCUGUAAACCUCUUUUCUCAAGGAAGAAGAACUGACGGUACUUGAGGAAUAAGCCACGGCUAA
rnacentral:rRNA from 1 species